rnacentral:rRNA from 1 species
CACCUCUAGCAUCACUAGUAUUAGAGGCACUGCCUGCCCAGUGACACAUGUUAAACGGCCGCGGUAUCCUGACCGUGCAAAGGUAGCAUAAUCAUUUGUUCCUUAAAUAGGGACUUGUAUGAAUGGCUUAACGAGGGUUUAACUGUCUCUUACUUUCAAUCAGUGAAAUUGACCUUUCCGUGAAGAGGCGGAAAUAGCUAAAUAAGACGAGAAGACCCUAUGGAGCUUAAAUUUACUAGUCUAAGCAAUCUAAUAACAGAUCCUCCGGGACACAAAACAUAACUUCUAGACUAUAUAUUUUGGUUGGGGUGACCUCGGAGUAAAAAAGAACCUCCGAAUGAUCUUAAUCCAGACAUAACUUGUCUAAAUUCCUACUCAUUAAUUGACCCAAACUUAUUGAUCAACGGAACAAGUUACCCUAGGGAUAACAGCGCAAUUCCACUCAAGAGUUCAUAUCGACAGUGGAGUUUACGACCUCGAUGUUGGAUCAGGACAUCCAAAUGGUGUAACCGCUAUUAAUGGUUCGUUUGUUCAACGAUUAAAGUC